rnacentral:lncRNA from 1 species
AGUGCUCCUGCUGACCUUCCGUGUCUGCAGCCCGGCUUUGGACUGUGGAGAUGCCCUCAGCCUCUACUCAGUGGCUCCAGCCUCAUAUUUGCGUGCUAUACCUUUAACCUCAAGUCCUCUUGCUGCUAACUUAAGCUGCGACUGUCCAGGACCUGCACACACACACACAUGCACGCAUGCACACACACACACACAGAAGCCCAGUUCCCUCUAGCUCCAGCACAGACUCUUAUCUCCAGCCCUGACUGCCGAAACCCUCCAGCCCCAGCUCCAGCCCCUCAGGAGGGGACUGCGUGGGAGGAAUGACUCCAGCAAGCCGGCAGCUGACCCGUCUCCUGCCUGCACGCCUCCCGCUGUGGUCCACUGCCGGUGGUCUUCAGCUCUCUCCUCGUCCCACCCCCAUGGUCUGCUGACAGCCCAGCUCAGUGCAUCCCUGCCAUCUCUGCUCUACCGCUGGUCCUCCCAACAACCAACUUACAGGGUUUCACUCCCGUCACCCAGACUGGAGUACAAUGGUGCGAUCUCAGCUCACUGCAACCUCUGCCUCCUGGGCUUAAGCGAUUCUCCUGCCUUGGCCUCCCAAGUAGCUGGGAUUACAGGUGCCUGCCACCACUCCUGGCUAAUUUUUGUAUUUUUUGUAAAGGCGGAGUUUCUCCAUGUUGCCCAGGCUAGUCUCAAACUCCUGAGCUCAAGCAAUCCACCCGCCUCGGCCUCCCAAAUAAGUGGAAUUAUAGGUGUGAGCCACCACGCCGGCCCUGAUGUAUCAAUAUUAAAACAUUUUCUUCAGCCUA